rnacentral:rRNA from 1 species
AAUAUUGCACAAUGGGGGAAACCCUGAUGCAGCCAUGCCGCGUGUGUGAAGAAGGCCUUCGGGUUGUAAAGCACUUUCAGUAGGGAGGAAGGUAGUGUAGUUAACACCUGCACUAUUUGACGUUACCUACAGAAGAAGCACCGGCUAACUCCGUGCCAGCAGCCGCGGUAAUACGGAGGGUGCGAGCGUUAAUCGGAAUUACUGGGCGUAAAGCGCAUGCAGGCGGCCUGUUAAGUCAGAUGUGAAAGCCCGGGGCUUAACCUCGGAAUUGCAUUUUGAAAACUGGCAGGCUAGAGUCUUGUAGAGGGGGUAGAAUUUCAGGUGUAGCGGUGAAAUGCGUAGAGAUCUGAAGGAAUACCAGUGGCGAAGGCGGCCCCCCUGGACAAAGACUGACGCUCAGAUGCGAAAGCGUGGGGAGCAAACAGGAUUAGAUACCCUGGUAG